rnacentral:lncRNA from 1 species
GGGUGUUUCACGCCCCAUCAGGCUAUGGCACACUUUAAAUAUUGUGCCAUGCUGAUAGAGGGCUGAGAGGACUUCUUGAUAGAUAUGGAAAUCAGAUUAAUCAGGAGUUUUAAGACUCCUCAACUGAUUAAACAAUUUCAGCCUUAUCCCAUUGUGGUGGUGGACUUGAUAGAGUUCCAAACAACUUGGACUCUAUAUUUGGCACCCUAUUUUGGCUGAAAUAAAUCCA